rnacentral:lncRNA from 1 species
AUAGAUGAGGAGCCGUCAGAAGAGUCCAGCUAACACAGCCUAGGCCUAUUUCAUCAUCCCACCAAACAAGAAGAUAGCCUGCUUCUUGCUUGACAGAUCAAGGAAGGAGGAGGUGGAGGAGAUGACAGAACAAGAUCUACUGAAAAGACAUCCACGGCCUGGUGGCAGGUGCCCAAGCCAUGUGCUCCCAAUACCCUCAACUGGAGUCUUUUUGCUAAAGAGACCUACGACGAACACAACAAAAUCAUAGGAAUCCAGGACUCCCCACUUGAAGGAUACUGAACUAGGAUGGAAAUUACCUCUACACCCCGAUUGCAUCUCCACUAUCCCCAGCCCAUUCCUCUGCUUUCCUUUUUGCACUACAGAGGUGAUAGCCUACCAUGGAAGGGAAGCCAUGACAGAAUUGACACUGCAGUGGGGAGUCCAGGCUGCUGGAACCUGAGAAUCGAAAUCCCACAAGCCUAUGUUCAGCUCCUGCUUCUGCCACCAAUUUCUCAUCUUCUAAAGGCUCCAUAAACGCCCAAAACAGUUCAAAGCAACUAAUGAUCAACUGAUGAAACAUUUGUCCUUAUGGUGGAUAUCCCAUGACAAAAAAUUUAUAUUAAUAAGACAACAGUUUUACAAGUUAGUGGUUGUGACACUGUUGGGUUGUGACUUUAAAUCAGGGCGUUACUAUGGCCCAGACUGGUCUUGUAGCCCAGCAUAGGCUGACCUGGAAGUCAUGGAAAUCCUUCUGCCACCUCUUUUCAAUUGUUGAAACUCUAUGUGUAAAUGUUGAAAUUAUAAGCACUAUGCUUGGCUUAAGACAACCUUUAUUAUCUCACGUUCCCUUCCCUGAUUCUGUCAUAAGUUGUAUUGCCACACUCCAACCCAAAAGACCCAUCUCCUUACCUGUUCCCAAAUCUAAAUGCUGGAUGAGCAGCAAUGAUAUGGAUCAGUUCACACCAGACACACUAGAUGAUUAUGUUCUCCUGAUUGGUGGCACUAUCUUUCCCAAGUACCUAAUUAAAUAUGGUUUUCCUCUUGUC